UCCGUUAUGGUGUAGUGGCUAACAUUAUCGCCUCUCAUGACGAAGACUGCGAAAGUGCGCGAUAGCCCAGGGUUCGAUUCCCUGUAACGGAA
rnacentral:tRNA from 1 species